GACGAACGCUGGCGGCGUGCUUAACACAUGCAAGUCGAACGAUGAAGCUAGAGCUUGCUCUGGUGGAUUAGUGGCGAACGGGUGAGUAACACGUGAGUAACCUGCCCCGAACUCUGGGAUAACUGCUGGAAACGGUAGCUAAUACCGGAUAUGACCAAUGAAGGCAUCUUCUGUUGGUGGAAAGAAUUUCGGUUCGGGAUGGACUCGCGGCCUAUCAGCUUGUUGGUGAGGUAACGGCUCACCAAGCCGACGACGGGUAGCCGGCCUGAGAGGGUGAUCGGCCACACUGGGACUGAGACACGGCCCAGACUCCUACGGGAGGCAGCAGUGGGGAAUAUUGCACAAUGGGCGCAAGCCUGAUGCAGCAACGCCGCGUGAGGGACGACGGCCUUCGGGUUGUAAACCUCUUUUAGUAGGGAAGGAGCGAAAGUGACGGUACCUGCAGAAAAAGCACCGGCUAACUACGUGCCAGCAGCCGCCGUAA
rnacentral:rRNA from 1 species